rnacentral:rRNA from 1 species
UACGUAGGGUGCAAGCGUUAAUCGGAAUUACUGGGCGUAAAGCGUGCGCAGGCGGUGAUGUAAGACAGUUGUGAAAUCCCCGGGCUCAACCUGGGAACUGCAUCUGUGACUGCAUCGCUGGAGUACGGUAGAGGGGGAUGGAAUUCCGCGUGUAGCAGUGAAAUGCGUAGAGAUCGGAAAGAACACCAACGGCGAAAGCACUCUGCUGGGCCGACACUGACACUGAGAGACGAAAGCUAGGGGAGCGAAUGGG